AAGUUUUGAAUAAAAAAAAACCCUUAAUAUUAGAAAAAGACGAAGAAUAAAGGGAGCAAUAGGAAAUUUAUCUCAACCUUCCAUAAUAUUGCUAAUCACUUAUAACCUUUAGUAAUUUAAAGGUAAAAUGACCACAUAAUCUAUUACCAAAUGACAUCAAAUAGAAAAACAUAAAUCUUCAUGAAAUUUUAAAACAGAAAAAUACAAAGUAAAUUCAGCUUUGCACCGUUUUUUUUCCAGAAUUCACUCAAACUUGUCAAUCAACACACGAUUCCCGCAUAUCAUGCAUCUUGGGUUAUCUUUGGAUACAAGCAUGUACAUGUAGCAACGAGUACACCCCACCAAAGUGAAUGGUAGCCCCUCAUCUUUUGAAGUGUCACCAAGAUUCUCAUCAGAACCAAACAUGGAAGAUGCACAUGUUUUGUUAACGGGUGUCGAUGACAACGACGAGAUGCGUGAACUUGGGCUUUGAGGCGGAAUUUUCACUUUCAAAUCAACACCCAAAUCACCUCCAUGCUCAUUCAUCAUUGUCUCAACCACACUUAUCUCUUUCGAUUCUUCUGAAGUUGAUUUCACCUUUGAAAAAACAAAAAACAUGAAAAAUAAAAAUAAUUUUAUAGAAUAUACUAUGAACAAAAUGUCAAUGUAUUAAUUUUAUAUAAAAAAAGGAAAUAAUAAUUGUAGGCAAGGUAAUCUAUAAGUACACCAAUGGCAAUAAUGAAGAUGAGGAAAAAAUCUAGCAUUCAAAUUAAAUUGACAAAAAAUAAAAUAAAAACACAAAUGACAUUCAAUUGGAAUGAAUAAAAAUGAGUCUACCUCAAAAUUAAUUUCAUGUCCUAUA
rnacentral:lncRNA from 1 species